rnacentral:rRNA from 1 species
AUUGAACGCUGGCGGCAGGCCUAACACAUGCCAGUCGAGCGGAUGAAGGGAGCUUGCUCCUGGAUUCAGCGGCGGACGGGUGAGUAAUGCCUAGGAAUCUGCCUGGUAGUGGGGGAUAACGUCCGGAAACGGGCGCUAAUACCGCAUACGUCCUGAGGGAGAAAGUGGGGGAUCUUCGGACCUCACGCUAUCAGAUGAGCCUAGGUCGGAUUAGCUAGUUGGUGGGGUAAAGGCCUACCAAGGCGACGAUCCGUAACUGGUCUGAGAGGAUGAUCAGUCACACUGGAACUGAGACACGGUCCAGACUCCUACGGGAGGCAGCAGUGGGGAAUAUUGGACAAUGGGCGAAAGCCUGAUCCAGCCAUGCCGCGUGUGUGAAGAAGGUCUUCGGAUUGUAAAGCAUUUUAAGUUGGGAGGAAGGGCAGUAAGUUAAUACCUUGCUGUUUUGACGUUACCAACAGAAUAAGCACCGGCUAACUUCGUG